rnacentral:rRNA from 1 species
GAUGAACGCUGGCGGCGUGCCUAAUACAUGCAAGUCGAGCGAACAGACGAGGAGCUUGCUCCUCUGACGUUAGCGGCGGACGGGUGAGUAACACGUGGAUAACCUACCUAUAAGACUGGGAUAACUUCGGGAAACCGGAGCUAAUACCGGAUAAUAUAUUGAACCGCAUGGUUCAAUAGUGAAAGACGGCUUUGCUGUCACUUAUAGAUGGAUCCGCGCCGCAUUAGCUAGUUGGUAAGGUAACGGCUUACCAAGGCAACGAUGCGUAGCCGACCUGAGAGGGUGAUCGGCCACACUGGAACUGAGACACGGUCCAGACUCCUACGGGAGGCAGCAGUAGGGAAUCUUCCGCAAUGGGCGAAAGCCUGACGGAGCAACGCCGCGUGAGUGAUGAAGGUCUUCGGGUCGUAAAACUCUGUUAUUAGGGAAGAACAACUGUGUAAGUAACUCUGCACGUCUUGACGGUACCUAAUCAGAAAGCCCCGGCUAACUACGUG